CCAGAAUUGGCUCAGAGGGAAAAGCGUCUGCCUGCAAUGCGGGAGACCUGGGUUCGACCCCUGGCUCGGGA
rnacentral:tRNA from 1 species